UUUGUGAUUGUCCUUGGCUUUCCAUUUGUGAUUGUCUUUUGUUUAUUUUAUUUUUUUGUUACAUAUUGUUUUUAAGUUGCUGAAAUAUUGUUUAUUUUAGUUUUUUAGUAGCUGAAUUUAAGAUAGAAUGAGCGGAAAUGAUGAUGAUUAUGAAAAUGAUGAUUUUUUUGGACAUUUGAGUUGGAAUAUGUUUCUUUACGUUAAGUUUGAACCGUUAAUGAAUAUAGUUUAUGAUUUUAAGACUCGUAACAAGUAAUUUCAUGAAUUUUAUGGUUUUAUUGUAUCAUUUAAUUUUAAUUUUUAGCGGCAAUGUUACAAUUUUCGCAUGAAGAUUAAAAAACUCUUUUUUCCAAUGGCUCUGCAACACUAACAUUCUCUCCUUGGUUCCUCUUUCUUCUCGACAAAGCCCUCUCUGUCACUCUCACUUCAUGGUGAAUCCUCUCCAUCGCUCUCUCCGCUGUAAAGGACUCUCGACUGUUGUCCUUCCCCAGUGAAACCCUUUCAUCUAUUUUUUCUCCCCAGUGAAACCCUCUCCUUCAUCUUCUCUCCACAAUCAAAGCCCUCUUAGAUGCUCUGUCACCUGACGAAGCCCUCUACCUUGCUUUCUCUUGCCAGUGAAGCCUCUACAAGAUCAAAGUUGUGGAUCGAAUUGGCAAGGAGCAUUGCAAAGUUAAUUAACUUGAUUAUUAAUUGCAAGAGGUACGAAAAUAUGUCCUCUUAACUCUUUUAUUAAUAUCAUACAAAUGUUAGAGGAGUUUGAAUAUCUUACAUAUUCAUUCGUAGAGAAGUAGGUUCUGACAUUAAAAUUGUGUGCUGCAGUGAUAACUGAAGGUUGAAAACUUGUGUGUCUUAGAGAAGUAGAUUCUGGAAAAUUUGUUUGUGUGUUGCGGUGAUAUAAGGAAGAAAACUUAUUGUGUGUUUGAAUUUUUUUACUUGGUAUUGAUAGAUGGUUAGGUAACCUUUAUAUGGGAAAUGAUGUAAGAUUUUAUCUAGAAUUAUUCAUUAUCUUCUUACAAGUAAAUUGUGUUUGCUUGAAUUGGUUUGAUUAUAUUGAUAGAUAUGGGUCAAUGCUUACUAUACGAGAAGUUUUUGGUUCAACAGUUGCAUGGCCUUCUCAAAAGGUUAUUCCAAGAGAUUCAACCAGUGAAGUGCAAAAGAAAAUCUAAUUUGGAAGUCUUUGGUGUGUUGACAUUGGAUGAUCAUGAAUUCCUACCUUUACUUUUGAAUAUGAAACUGUUUAAGACUAUUUUGUUGACUAUUG